rnacentral:rRNA from 1 species
GGAAUACCCGCUGAACUUAAGCAUAUCAAUAGGCCGGAGGAAAA